rnacentral:lncRNA from 1 species
UUGGAUCCGAUGGGAAGAUCCGGUAUGAGGAUUUCAUUGCUAGGAUGGUUGCCAAGUGAUUUUUGCAUGUGAGUCCUUCUAUCUUUUAGCAUUUGAUGAAAACUCCCCUGAAAGUUUUAUACUUGCAUUUGUUCCAAUAUUUUGUUUAAGCUUGGUAUUCAUGUUGUUUGCGUGGGUUAUGUAUAACAGUUUGAGUCCUUCUAUCUUUUAGUAUUUGAUGAAAACCCCCCUGAAAGUUUUAUACUUGCAGAGUUUGUUCCAAUAUUUUGUUUAAGCUUAUUGUUCAUGUUGUUUGCGUGGGUUAUGUAUACCAGUUUGUGUAAAAUCAACACUUAAUGUACUCGUUAAGGUUCAUGCUUCACAUUAUUGUUUCUGAAGAAACAUAGAUGAGAUCUUUGAUGAUUAGAAUUGAUGUUAUAUUCGCAUAAUUAAGACCUUUGUUGUUGUGCUGGUAAGUGGUACCUACUCUGCACUUUCAUAUCCGGAAAGCAAAAAGAUAGAGUAAUUAAGUGUUAACGUACUUGUGCUGGCUAGAGGAUGCAUGUACACGGCAGAAUAGUCAAGAAGCACGGCACAAAUUUUAUUUUGUUUUAAAAAGAAGAACAAUAACUUCAAAUGGCUUCUACUUGAAUCCUUUAAGGUUAUGCAUUUUAGUAAAGAGAGAAUCUGGUGAAUGUUGAAGCUUCACCUGUGAGUUGCGUGGUUCUCCAUAGUAUUUUUGCAAGUUCAUUUGUUACUUGUGAAUGCUAAGGAAACAUCAAGACUGCAACCUACUUAUGAUGUGCUUUUACUACCACAGCUGUUAGAGGUCUUUGAUCUUCCAGAUCAGUAAC